rnacentral:lncRNA from 1 species
UCCUAUGAAUUACGAAUCGCGAUUGAAAGUAGUCGUAACUAAUUUAAUACUCAGGCUAACAAUAGGAAAAUUAAACUUUAAAAACACUUUGCCCCUUUCUUCCUUUCUUUCACUUUUUGACAUUGCCCUUUCCUCUAUUUCCUUGAAUAAUAAAUCGCUGAAGAACGCUUGAGAAUCACUGAUUGCUUUCGUAUGUUUGGAAUCGACUUGCCGGUAAUAACGCCAUUUCAUACGUAAUAUUCAUCGUAAACGUUUUUACUAAGAGCUUGGACACAACGCAUUUUUCGAGUGAAUAGUGAGAUUAUAUUCUCGAAAUGUUUACGAUUUAGCAUCAUUUAUACCCACAUUAUAUAGGAUGAGUGCCAGAUAAACGCAGGGGAACGAGAAAUAUCGGCGGGUGAUUGCGACGUGCGUUGUUUUAGGAAGAGAUGCGCGCGCACAAUGGCCACGUAUAACAUCACGCGACAUAGGAAAAGAAUCGAGAGAGACGACCGAGAGAGAAUACGUACUCGGUUGUUUCUAGCGUGUGUGUGUAUGUUGUUAUUGUGUGUGUGCGCGCGCGCCCGCGCGAGGGAGCGUCACGGUGAGAUGAAACACCAGGAAAGAAGAGAAAGAAAGGAGUAUGUAUGGAAAAGAGAAACAGAAAGAGAUAGACGCAACAUUAUUCGAGUUCUAUAGUAGUUGAAAUACGCGCACACACAUAAGAGCGCUUAUAAUUUUUAUGCUACGCGCAGACUCGUGUUGACUAUCGAAGUUUGUUUUCAAUCAGCCAGCAUCGCGUGAACUUGUUGCCCGUAUAAUUGGUAUAGUAUUGCGUGAAAGUUUAAUGAACAAAAGCACAUCAUUGUUGCAUCAUCCACAUCAUAGAUGUGAUAAUCAACCAGAUAUCGACCAUAUCACAUCGAAGUAACAAAUCGAGAAAAAUGUUCGAUUGCAGAAGGAGCAUAUAUACUUUAUGUACAUCCUUGUACAGUACGUUCGUAUAAACGAAUAGGAAAUUGAGCUUUUGGCUUUUUAUACAAUUUUAUAAACAAUCGCUUGAAAACAACGUUUAAUUCAAACAUCGAGGAGAUUUAAUCGUUGAUCAGAAUCAACAAAUAUUAUUACGUAAAAAUGGAAUGCAUCGAACGAGUUUUUACGCUCUUACCCUGAAAACGCGACAGAUUUCUUGUCUAAAUAGAAAAUUUAAAGGACAAUGUUGUUUGGUCGCACAAAAUAACAGCAUAAACCGGUUUCUGCACGUGGCAAGAGUUGCUCGAUCGUGCCCGGUGAACCGGCAGUACCCGACUACAAUACCUACCACCAUGCUAUCGAUUUACGUAACUUUCUUCCACUUUUGACACACAUUCCUCCCUAAGUUAUUUUGAAGUUUCACGAUGACGAAACAGAAGAUAAGGCCAAAUGUGCGUUUGACUACAAGGUGAAAAGGAGUUUAAGGGUUGCGGGUUAUGUAAGUAUAUAUGUAUGUAACUUGAAGAGGCUUCGUAGCUAUGAAUAAUAAACGAAGGAGGGCAAUGUAAGCAGGUGCCAAAGGGAAAGACGUAAUCACGGAGAAACCAAGGAUGAGAAAAGAUAACAAAAGUUGAAUUUUCAAAAUGGUCACUGCUAGUUCAUAAUCGUGAUGUCGAUUGUUUUAGAUAGAAUCGAUCGUUUAAAUCGAUUUGGAAUACAUGUAUUUAUAACGGCGACGUGGGAGCUCGAUUACUACGACUCAUCGAACAAUAUUUGUAAAACCACGGAGAUGACCACGAAACUGUAUUGGUACAAAUUUAUCUAAUUACUUUAAAUUCUAUGCAUGACAUGAUGAAAUCAUCGCGAAUUCAUUAAUUUUAACGAGUUAUUAUCGUUCUUCGGUAACCAAUGACUCAUCCAAACGGGAUUAUCGCUGUACUCUAUCUAUUAUCGUUUAACGAAGCGAGAGAAAUGCGCGUUGCAAACUUGUAUUGUGAAUUCACCUAGUGACGUCUUUCAAAAAUAAACGAAAUUUUGGAUAAAUUACAGCGAUAUUUGGUUCUUGAAUAGCUAAUCGAAUUGUCAAGCUGUUAUCGUUAGAAUUCGAUUUGGAAUAAUGGUUAAUGACAUUUAGUUUAACAGUGAGAGAAGAAAACAGGUAAUGUGUGAACGAUGUGUGUAUUACAUAUCCGGUGUUAAUAAAGUUAAAGCAGAGUAAUUACGGAGUGAUACAAGACGCGCAUACUAUGUUAUGUAAUUUGCCAAGCCGAUCACUCAGAAUGAAUUGUUCAUCUCUCUAAAACUUUUAUUCAUAAACUUAUGCAUGUCUUUGAAUGAAGGUAUGGCUUAUUUAAAAGCAGGAUCGGCUAACAGUUAAGAAAUAGGUUAUGAUGAUUCGAAUUUGAAUAUUUUGGCGUUUAAUAUAACCUUUAAUAAGUCGAGCAACAACAACGACGACAGGUUAUGAAAACCGAUAAGAUAGUUUAAACGAAUAAUAAUACCGAAGUAGAUAGAUUUUCAGAGUUUUACGUAAUAUAAAUCGUUGGAUAAAACAAUCGGGAUUGAUACGUGGAAAAAAAGAAGUUGGUAAAUACGAUAGAGGGCGAAAAAGAACCGAAUUUGUUCGAAUUACGUUACUUGUUUAAAAGAUAGUGAGAAGUAAUUGUGAUUUUCUUAUUUUGAGUGUUCACGCAUGGCUAUGCGAAUUCGCGAUUGCAAAUAUUUUCGAAAAGAAAUUGCCGUCGAAUAAAUUUUCUCAAGAGCUAAUUGAUCCAUAAGCAACGAAGAUAAAAGGAGCGAGAACGAUAUACUCGACGAGCGUCGAUUGUCGAGCGUCGAGCGUGAAGGCAUGAUUUCACGCAGCACGUGGAUCCACGAUUCAGGGUCAAAUAAUAGGACGCGCAGAAGUUUUUGUCCAAGGUCUUCCGCAUGAUAUUCAGUUUUGGUUGACUGUUUUAUCACGCGUAAAUUUUACACAACACCUUUGACGUUUUGUAUUUUUUGUUUGAAUGGCAAGCUUAUUUAUGCUUUGGAAGCGAUAAAUUACAUACAGACUUAUAUCUACCUAUACCUACUUUCAAGAAGAGAACGAUGCGUCGUAGGUAUAUGUUUGGUUAUUGCAACUAAUCUAAUUCUAUUCGAUAUCAUAGUAAAAAGAUAUCUUGCUACAAUGUACAAGAAUUCGGAACUCCUUUUUCCUUUCAAAGUUUGCUCCUUUUUGAUUCGCCACGACAAUGUAUAUAGGCGCAAUAUUCGCAUACUUCGUAUCGUAUAAAUACAUAAAUGUAUGUACAUGUAAUUCAUUACUCGUUAUCUUAAGAUCAAAGGGACGUAUAUACAUAUAUCCGUUGAUAGAUAUUAUCGAAUGGUAUCGAAAGCGAGAGAAAGAGAGAAUGAGCACCUUGAAUAGCGUAGAGUAUAGAAUGUAUGAAACAGUAUUACCAAGAGAGAGCGAGAGCGAGGGUGAGGGCGAGGGCGAGGGCGAGGGCGAGAGAGAGAGAGAAAAGUAUCAAUCAUAUUUCCAAAAAGAUUUUUAUUUGUAAUUCUAUCGUUAGGUAUUGCUUAAAGUUCUCACUAAAUCUAGUAGAUUCUUACGACGACGUAAUAAGACGCGGAAAUAAUUUAGUUCGUUUGUGACCGCAUCGGUACAGUUAGUACCAGAAUUAAUUGCAAAUCCACGUUUUCGCGAGCGAAUUAAUCAAAGUCUUAGUUUAUAAAUUAAGCCAAUAUUUAUAAACACUUAAUAAACUGUAAAUUAAGGAGAGGAUACGAGAAUUUCGAUGAUUAACAGUGUACGGUUUGAAAAACGGACGAAACCAUCCUCCGUGAAAAAUGCCAACGAACUUGCUUGACCCGAGAGAAAGACCAGUGGCCUGAUCUGGUAUCGAUCACACAUCAAAUUUUCUACGAUUCUGCGUUUCGUAGCUUUACCGUAUUCCAUGUUUUUCGCCGAUCGGAUCGUUAAAACAUCAAACCGGUACUAUCCAAUAGCAACCUUGCAUUUGCCAGUUUCUACGAUCUACCCUAUAGGCUCUGUAGCCUUGACUUUAUUGUAGCAAACGCGUAUAGAUUUACAUACAUAUGUGCCUGAGUACCUUUAUUAUGACUGUGUCGCGAUAUCGCUAUCUCUCUUUUCCCCCUUUUCUUUUUGUAGCAACGACAUGCAAAUUAUAUUCAUCAGCGAAACUUGUCGCGUGUAUCUGUCUCUUCUUCUUUUAUCUUAUUUCCCAGAAACGAACAUCCUUAUAGAUUCGCCUUCAUAAGGAUCCCUUUUGCGGUGAUACGUAAUGUACGUACUACUUAGGUAUGUACAUGCGAUCAAUGAUGUCUCGUGAUAGUUCAACGCACACCAAAUAAAAAGAUAGAAAAUAGUAAAUAUUUUCUGCGGAACGAGCGCGAUAAGAUUAAGCAAGUGGUACUUCUCUUUCGCUUCUUGCGAUGUACAAAGCGCGAUUCCUAGCGAUAAAGACAAGCUGUUGAACAAGCGAAUCGAAGGCAAACUCGCGAAUAGAUAAUGAGAAUAUUAGAAGUGAAUUAAAGGCGAAUACCCGAAUAGAAAUGCGACGAGGUUCGAAUUGUCAGAUAAUUUUCGAAGAUCGGACAUUUUGGACGAAUAUAUAAUCGUAUUACGUGUAAUCUGACCUAUUACGAGAAACGAGAUAACGAGUUCGUCUCACGUGAUAUAUUGAUAUACUUGUCUGCGCGACAUUGACCAGAAAUGUUUUUACAAAACAAAUAUCCGAGAGAGGGAAGAGAAUAACGUUGCUUGCGCGUUGAUAUUCUUACGAUAAAAUUAUACAAGUUUGCACGAUAUCGAUAACGUCGUUAUUGAUAAGCUUGUAAAUAAACAAUAAAUUCUGUAAUCUAUAGCUUCGUGCAAGUUUACGAAAUUGUUGUCUAAGCGUCCUACAAUUGUUGCCUAAUCGAAAAUUAUUUCGAAUAAUACACCAUAAACUGAAAAGACGUUUAGACGUUUCAUCUGAUAUCUCUCUAGACCUUGAUACGAUUCGCUUUCCGGUGGAAUGAUUUGAUAGGUCUCGAAUCUCGAAUCUCGAUUGAAAGAAUCGAAUCGAUACGAACACUUGUAACUGAGCAGGCAGACUCGGAAAUGCUGAAUAUUGCUGAAUUUUAUAUUAUAUUAUACUACGUACCUUUCGGACGGUCGAACGAGUUGCAACGAACACACCAGUUAGCAUAAACGAUAUUUAUAACGAUAUGUUAGGCACGGGACUCGUGCCAGACGCGUAAAAGCGAUUUGGACCCGUUUUACUCUCGAAAACGAGCAUUUCUCGCGCAUCGUCGAAAAUUUGGUCGCGAUCUGCACACCUGUUUGACUUUCCAUGUCAAAACGUCAAUAAAUACAAAGAAACGCUGGUAAUCUUGUUAAAAAGCUAUAUCCUCUCGGAUUUUGAAAUAUGUUCUAAAGCUCAACAUCCUGAACAGCCUUUUCCUAUACGUAUAUAUAUAACAGGCGGUCGGCCUUACUUAUUUUUGAAUUAUACACAAAAAUAUCCUGUCGCAUGGUCUUAUUUUCAAGCCGAGUUGAAUUAGUAGUAUUAGAGAGAAAAUUACCUCUCUGGUAGUACAUGGUAGUAAGGGCCGCCGCAUUUAAUCGCAUUUAACCGGGCAUCAUUUAACUCUUAAUUAAGUAUGAGCAACAAUACAGCCAAGUUCGUUGCUUUUUGAAGAAAAAGAAUUGUUUACGAGUUUCAAACUUCCUAUGCCAUGUGAUUCCAAACAUCAACGUUUUUUCUCUUUUCCACAUGUUUUUUAUCUUUUUUCAACUUAACAAGAUUCAAUGAAUGACUACUCAACUAUUCGAUCGUGCUAUGUACUAAUAAUACAACAUAGUUUGAAAGCUAAGGGCCAGCGACGAUAUAUCUUUACAUGUAACUGGAAAACUAAGGUCGAUCGCCGGGUAUACGUAUAGGAAAAAGUUGUUCAGAAUGUUGAGCUUUACGACGUAUUUGAAAAUCAUCGAAAUCGAAGAGGAAGUAGGUUUUAGACAAUCUUUUAGCUUUUAGACAAGUAGGUUUCACCGAAUCAUGAUUUUACACGUUCGAUAUACAUGUACAUGAUAAAAAAACUGUCAACAGAAAGGAAAAGAGAUGCGUUCUUUUGCUGUACAGAUAUCUUCUGUAUUGUUACAUAUACUCUAAUCGACCUUUUUCGUUCUUUGUUGUAGAUAUGUAAUAGUCGUUUAUUCCCCCGUUAUUUAUUCCAUUCUAGUGAAUAGCAAUGCCGAAAUAUUGGCACUGAAUAAACGCGAACCAAAUAUUUUGCGUCAAUUCGAAAUUAAUGAAAUGAAAUUAAUCAGAGACAUUUUUCUGUUAGUACGGACGAUGGGCGGAAAAUGUGGUACAGAUUGAUCGACGUUUGCAACUUGUCGUUGUUCGUACACCGUAAAUACAUAAGUACAUACAUUGUACAAUCGGACGCCAAACGCGUAGUUGCGUAGUUAUUUUCUGACACUAGCGCGGACAAGCAAAUAUACCGUGUGAGUGAACGAUAGAAGACAAUGUACAAUGCGGAGCUGAAAAAAAUGUUAACGUUAUUUCGUAUAGACUCAACAAAGUUAUAACGAUAAGCACCGUGUGUUAGCCGAAACUAUCAUAUGUGUAUGUAUAUAAAUAAAAGAAUAUAGCAACGCGUGACGGUGAACGAUAGAAAUGUGCAAGCAUAAGACUCGAAGAAAAUAAUCCGCACAGAAAAUUAGCUCGAGCGCGAGUAAAUCCGAGCAGCCUCGAUUCGAUACGACCAGACACGAUGACGAAAUUUAAAAUAAGCGCUUAUUCAAACUAUUAGUGUACAUCGUUGUGUUCGCAAUAGAGUAGUAGCAUCCAUAUUGCAUGCGUGGUGAGAUGAUCGUUAUAAUCAAAGACGGAUUUCGAUGGUGUUUAAGAUGAAAGCGAGAUAACUCGGCAUUGAGUGUCGGUAUCUAAAUUAUUGAAACUAGGACAUACGAUUAACAAAAUACAUUCGCAAAAUGAAAAACGAUUCAUUGGAAAGGAACGUAGAUACUGGAUCGUAUUCGAAAGCUUUCAGCUUACGGCAUUUCAAAGCGAUUUCUUUGUCGACGACAGAUUCACAUUGAUCUCAAGGGAAGAAGAGUAGAGAAGCGAAAAGCUUAAGCGAUCUUAACCCAAACCGAGCAUGUAAGAAAUAUCGUGUUUCUGCUUGUUACGUAUUUACAUUUCUUCUCCGAUCGACCACGUUGUUUCUCAUUCCGUUCUGACUCUUCGCUCGCUAUCGAGUCGUAUUUACGGUUGAAAUUCAUACCUUCUUGGAAGGAUUUAUAGAGGCGGAGUGUUUAACGAACGCAGACUAUUAUUACAAAGCCCGUUCACGUAACCUCAAAGAACGCACAAAUUCGUGCUAUCGAACUGUCCCGUUUUGCGACCAAGUUUUCAGGACAGAAGAAGAAAGAAAAUACAAUAUCGUAUAAAAUAAAUCGUUUUUAAGCGACCUAAGCUCAA